rnacentral:lncRNA from 1 species
GGCUUUCUAACUCCCACCCCUCCACUCCCUUCCUUCCUUCCCUUUCUGCUUCCUUCCUUCCUUCUCCCAGCUUUCCACCUUUGAUUCCAAAAGUCAGUCCCAGGGCAGUGGCAGGGGGCAGCAGGAUUGCUGGCCCUCAGGGUACCUGUCUAGGGCAGGAGGGAAGGGCCCUGGGAAGUUAGGAUCAUGGCCCGGCUGUCUAGGAGGACCCAGGGGACCUGACUCAGGCAGAGCAGCAAAGGGAACAAGGCAAGUGCAGAGAUACUGGACCCAGGGAAGGGCAUUGACUCAUGUGGGGCACUGGCCUGAGCAGGGAAGCCCUUCUGGCUGGGAUUCCAAGAAGGAAUAUUUCUCAGCCAGUCCCCAGUUUGACACCUCCAAAAAUUAAUGCCAGAGGCCCCCUCAGCAAAGCCUGGGGCACGAUAGGCGCACCAUCAAGGAGCAUCAAAUCAAACUGACCAGGAACUCGAGGAACGUCGCUUCCUCCAACACCUGAGAAAACAGGAGGCAAAGCCGGGCCAGGUCUUAUGGAAAGACUGGGAGAACCAGGGAGCCCAGAACAUCUGAAAGAAGGACUUCAGGACCUAGCCCUGAAGGAGCUAGGUUCAGGUGCUGAAAAGAAGCCGCCAGUGCUGGGAGGUGGGGCUCUACUGGAGUAAUAUCUCCUGAGCUGCAAGUAGCUGCACUCCCAUGUUCCUGUGUGUCCACAGAGCCACUAGGCUCAGGCGGAUACUCUGCUUCUCACAGGUCAGCCAUUCAACCCUCCUGGCCACCAUGAGGCAGGAAUCAGCACCCCCAGCCUUCAAAGUUCAGUAUGUACUCUACAUGAACAACAUGUCUCAACUCGG